rnacentral:rRNA from 1 species
GGACUACAGGGGUUUCUAAUCCCGUUUGCUCCCCUGGCUUUCGCGCCUCAGCGUCAGAAGGGGUCCAGCACGUCGCUUUCGCCACCGGCGUUCCUUCCGAUAUCUACGCAUUUCACCGCUCCACCGGAAGUUCCACAUGCCCCUACCCCCCUCGAGACCGCCAGUAUCCGAAGCUCUUCUCCCGUUAAGCGGGAGGCUUUCACCCCGGACUUGGUGGUCCGCCUACGCGCCCUUUAAGCCCAGUGAAUCCGAACAACGUUCGCACGGUUCGUCUUACCGCGGCUGCUGGCAC